rnacentral:lncRNA from 1 species
GAUUUGAGUUCUAAAUCAUCAUAUUUGGUAACACUUGGUCUCGAUUCAAAAUCAUCAUUCUCGGUAACGCUUGACCUGAGUUCAAAGUCAUCAUACUUGCUAAUAUUUGGUCUCGGUUCAAAAUCAUCAUUCUCGGUAACGCUUGACCUGAGUUCAAAAUCAUCAUAUUUGGUAGCACUUGGUCUCGGUUCAAAAUCAUUGUUCUUGGUAACGCUUGACUUGAGUUCAAAAUCAUCAUACUUAGUAACACUUGGUCUCGAUUCAAAAUCAUCGUUCUUGAUAAUGCUUGACUUGAAUUCCAAAUCAUCAUAUUUGGUAACACUUGGUAUGGGUUCGAAGUCACUGUUAACUUGUGUAUUUGUAACUAGAGACUCUUCA